GGGGGAUACAGAUGGUAUGUUGGUUGCCUCCUGCUGGGAUCCCCCCGAAAUGGUGUUGACGGAAUCCGAUAGAGGCCGAUCGUCCGGCCACUCCUUGUCGGCGACCAUAGCCGGAGGUAGUUGUGCGAAGGCCUCGCAAGAAGACAUCAGAUUAGGAAAGGAGGAGUGGGUGCCGGAUAAGAUGACCGGAGGUGGAUCC
rnacentral:lncRNA from 1 species